rnacentral:rRNA from 1 species
GAUGAACGCUGGCGGCGUGCCUAAUACAUGCAAGUCGAGCGAACAGACGAGGAGCUUGCUCCUCUGACGUUAGCGGCGGACGGGUGAGUAACACGUGGAUAACCUACCUAUAAGACUGGGAUAACUUCGGGAAACCGGAGAUAAUACCGGAUAAUAUAUUGAACCGCAUGGUUCAAUAGUGAAAGACGGUUUUGCUGUCACUUAUAGAUGGAUCCCCGCCGCAUUAGCUAGUUGGUAAGGUAACGGCUUACCAAGGCAACGAUGCGUAGCCGACCUGAGAGGGUGAUCGGCCACACUGGAACUGAGACACGGUCCAGACUCCUACGGGAGGCAGCAGUAGGGAAUCUUCCGCAAUGGGCGAAAGCCUGACGGAGCAACGCCGCGUGAGUGAUGAAGGUCUUCGGAUCGUAAAACUCUGUUAUUAGGGAAGAACAAAUGUGUAAGUAACUAUGCACGUCUUGACGGUACCUAAUCAGAAAGCCACGGCUAACUACGUG